rnacentral:rRNA from 1 species
CCUACGGGAGGCAGCAGUGAGGAAUAUUGGUCAAUGGCCGCGAGCCUGAACCAGCCAAGUCGCGUGAGGGAUGACUGCCCUACGGGUUGUAAACUUCUUUUAUAAGGGAGUAAAGUGAGUCACGUGUGGCUCUUUGUGUGUACCCUAUGAAUAAGCAUCGGCUAACUCCGUGCCAGCAGCCGCGGUAAUACGGAGGAUCCGAGCGUUAUCCGGAUUUAUUGGGUUUAAAGGGUGCGUAGAGGGGGUGUGAAGUCAGUUGUGAAAGUUUGCGGCUCAACCGUAAAAUUGCAGUUGAUACUGGCAGUCUUGAGUACAGGAGAGGUAGGCGGAAUGCGUGGUGUAGCGGUGAAAUGCUUAGAUAUCACGAAGAACUCCGAUUGCGAAGGCAGCUUACUGGACUGCAACUGACACUGAUGCACGAAAGUGUGGGUAUCAAACAGGAUUAGAUACCCGGGUAGUC